GGUGGCAGCCAUAGCACCCUGACCAUACCUGGUCUCUUCAGAUCUCAGAAGGUAAGCAGGGUAAGGUCUGGUUAGUACUUUUGUGGGAGGUUACCCCUUUUGUCCAUCUGCACCCCUACCUCUGUGAUCC
rnacentral:rRNA from 1 species